GACGAACCGUGCGAACGUUGUUCGGAAUCACUGGGCUUAAAGGGCGCGUAGGCGGGCGAUCAAGUCAAGGGUGAAAUCCUGCGGCUCAACCGUAGAAGAGCCCCUGAUACUGAUCGUCUCGAGGGAGGUAGGGGCGUGUGGAACUUCCGGUGGAGCGGUGAAAUGCGUAGAUAUCGGAAGGAACGCCGGUGGCGAAAGCGACGCGCUGGACCUCUUCUGACGCUGAGGCGCGAAAGCCAGGGGAGCAAACGGG
rnacentral:rRNA from 1 species